rnacentral:lncRNA from 1 species
CUAACGGCCAGAUGAGAGCAGUUGGCAGUUAUUUUGCAGGAGGCUUCUCAGGGAUGAAGGCAAGCUGGCCCCUAGCUGAUCAGCUGGUUGGUGAGGACUCUUCACGAAGUAAGGGACCAUUGUGAAGAUGGAAGAAUGCCCACAAAAUCCAGCUUGAAACCUGCUGGCUCUGAGGGUCCUGCUGGCUCAGCAGUGCUGUGUUUCUUCUGUCCUAACCAGAAAGUUACCCUUCUAUUUGCGGAGAGCUAUUGCCUAUCGGCCUGGACCAGCAGAUAACUCAGCACUCAUGAUCAGCUGUCAAGCUAUAACGGAGUGUUGAGGCAGUCCCUGAAACCACAGCGCCAUUUUGUAGGAACUAAGAAGCCAACCUCAAGGAAUCACUCGCCCCAAGAAGACUUUGUUCUGAUCUGAUGUGUUUCUAGCCUGGUGGAGCCUCAGCUAUCCAAAGGAAGAGCUGUUAAGAUGAUUGGAAUUUUGGUUUUUCCGAUUCACUCUUUUUUCUCUCCAGCCAUCUGCCUUAGACAGCAGGAGAAAAGGAAACUUAGCCUCAGAGGUGGGGUCCUUCGGAAGGACUGACAGUGGGCUAGCUCUCCUGCUGCUGGGAGCCUGAGUGCCUUUGGCUCCUUGUCCAGACCUCAGCUUUACCACGGAGGUUACCUGCUUACCAUCAACAUCGAAACUUGCCUCUUCCCCUGGGUGUAUUCUCCCUCUUUUGUGUACAGUUUGAUUCCUCCAAACUGCUCUCCCUGUGAAGAAAGCCGAUGGAAUUCAGGGAGCCUGGCCAGCCACCCAGGCCUUUAUAAAGGUCCUCGUACCACAGGAUGUAUGGGAGACCCAAUAAAGACUUUUGCAAAAUGCU